rnacentral:rRNA from 1 species
UACAGAGGUCUCAAGCGUUGUUCGGAUUCAUUGGGCGUAAAGGGUGCGUAGGCGGCGCGGUAAGUCGGGUGUGAAAUCUCGGAGCUUAACUCCGAAACUGCAUUCGAUACUGCCGUGCUUGAGGACUGGAGAGGAGACUGGAAUUUACGGUGUAGCGGUGAAAUGCGUAGAUAUCGUAAGGAAGACCAGUGGCGAAGGCGGGUCUCUGGACAGUUCCUGACGCUGAUGCACGAAAGCGUGGGGAGCAAACAGG